rnacentral:rRNA from 1 species
UACGGGGGGAGCAAGCGUUGUUCGGAUUUACUGGGCGUAAAGGGCGCGUAGGCGGCCAGUGCAAGUCAGUUGUGAAAUCUCCGAGCUUAACUCGGAAAGGUCAACUGAUACUGCUCGGCUAGAGUGCGGAAGGGGCAACUGGAAUUCUUGGUGUAGCGGUGAAAUGCGUAGAUAUCAAGAGGAACACCUGCGGCGAAGGCGGGUUGCUGGGCCGACACUGACGCUGAGUGCGCGAAAGCCAGGGGAGCAAACGGG